GGACUACUGGGGUUUCUAAUCCGUUUUGCUCCCCACGCUUUCGUGCCUCAGUGUCAGUAACAGAAUAGUUAACUGCCUUCGCCUUUAUUGAUGUUCUUCUAUAUAUCUGUGCAUUUUACCGCUCCACAUAGAGUUCCGUUAACCUCUCCUGCACUCAAGCCAAACAGUAUUACAAGUUUCCACGAAGUUGAGCCUCGAUUUACCACUGAUAACUUGUCAGGCCACCUACGCACCCUUUACACCCAAUAAUUCCGGAUAACGUUCGCCACCUACGUCUUACCGCGGCUGCUGGCAC
rnacentral:rRNA from 1 species